rnacentral:rRNA from 1 species
ACAUUUACCUUCCAAGUAAAAAGUCAUAUGAUAAAGCAAACCGAAGGGGAAAAUAAAUAGACAAAGCAAAAAUAAGUAUUUCUACCUUGUGUAUCAUGGACUAUUUAAUAAAUAUAUAAACCUAUCAACCCGAAAGCAAAUGAGCUACUUUUAUUCUAUUAAGAAUUCAAACUAAUUGUUGCAAAAAUUUUUAAGAAAUAAAAGUAGAGAUGAAAUGUCUACGCAUUUGCUGAUAUCUGGAUAUAAAAAAUGUAUUUAGUACAAAAAAACAUAUUAAUCUUGGGAUAAGCUAAGAUUAAAAGAUAUACAACCUAAAAUAUAAAAAUUUUUUUAGGCUUAAUAAUAGUCUUAAAAAAAUACUGUAACAAGAAAUUUUACUAAAAUAAACGAUUCUAAAGGAGUUAAUCUAAAUAAAAAGAAAAAACUUAUUUCUUUACUAAAAUGAUAGUAUAAGUAUAACCACCUCUUCACUAUAUAAGAGAACUAAUAAUACAAAAAGGAACUCGGCAAAAAGAGCUACGACUGUUUAACAAAAACAAAGCUUCUCGUUUUUAUAAGAAGUGCCGCCUGCCCAGUGUAUAAUAAACGGCCGCGCAAGUGCUAAGGUAGCAUAAUAAUUUGUCUUUUCAUUGAAGACUAGAAUGAAAGGCAUAACGAAGCUCAACUGUCUCCUUGUAUAGAAUAAAAAUUGAUUUAAAAGUGAAAAAGCUUUUAUUUUUAUGUAGGACGAGAAGACCCUAUAGAGUUUUAGUACAAUGUUUAUUAUACUAUAAGCAUAUACUUUUAUUGGGGCAAUAAAAGAACAAAAAAAAUCUUAUUUAUAUAAUCCCUCAAAGAGAACAAAACAAACUACCUUAGGGAUAACAGCGUAAUCUUACCAAAGAGUUCUAAUCGAAGGUAAGGAUUACGACCUCGAUGUUGGA